rnacentral:lncRNA from 1 species
UCCCCACCCCCAGCACACACUAUAGCACUCCUUCCGCCCUGAUUUGCCUCUGGGAAAACAAGCCGGAGAGCUGGGGGCAGUCUCCCAAAAUCACGCCGCGGAGAACUGGGUGUCUGGAAUAGAAGCGUGCUUAUAUCUCUCCACUCCCUGUCUGGUGGUGGGCCCAUAUUCUGUGCAGCCUCUAGGAAGCGCUAGACCCAUGUAAGUGGUUUCUUUUCUGCGGUUAGGAUCUUACCCCUGCCCCCCACCCUUAUGGACCAGAGUAUAUGGUGGAAAUACUGAAGUCGGGAAUCGUGGUUCUCUCUUGGACAGGCCCCCACGGUGUGAAGUGCGCAAAUCACGGAACUUCUCUGAGCUUUCAUUUGCCUCAUCAGCAAGUGGGACUGGAGAGAUCCUCCGCUUUGGUCUGCCAGGAGUUAGUAGCAUUGUUGCCUUCAGGGAAGUGGUCACUAAACAGCCCCUUCCCUACCCUUUCUUAGAGUUUCCCAGAGCCCCUACUAGUGUGAUUAGGGGAACCAGUUGUAUUUUCCAGUGAGGAGCAGCAGGGGAGGAAAAGGUUGGCAGUCAGCUUUUCCCCAAGCCUUCCAACUGAGUCUGGGGUUUGACGUAUGUCCUAUAGCAGUUUAAUUUCCUGGGUUAUGAUUGGAACUUUGCUGCUGCUGAACUUGGGGGAAUUCAUCCGUGGGUUUGUAGACCAGGGCCUUAAGGUAUCUGUGGCUUUUGUGAUUUCAGAAACCAACAGCAGCUGGUAUCAGUGGGAAGUCGUCCAACUUUUCUUCACUCCAGGCACUAACCUCCCUGUCACUCCUGGAGGAGAGGAUAACUGGCUACUACCAGCCAGGCACUGAGUUGGGGUGGGGGUGGGGUAAUGAUACCAGUGAUGACAGGAUCCAGUUACUUCCCCCAAGGAAGAACAUUAUCUGUGGCCUGAAUCAUUAUCUGCUAAUCAGGGAGCUGAUGUUCUAUAUAAUGUUUUAUAAUAAAACGAAGUUUCAUGCACCUAACACCCACAAUCCACCAGGUUUUCUAAACAAUGUAUACCAUUGUCUUCUUACAACCAUUUUGAGAAGCAUAUAUAAUUAUCCAGACCAAACCUGAGGAAAUAGUCCCAGAAAUAUUGAGUGUCUUGCUCAGGUCACACAGGCAGCUGGAAAUUGAUCUCAGAUUUGUGUUGCAUUCCCUUGUAUUUUCUCCUUUCCUGCAAACUUUCUUGUGAAGUAUUAGUUUUGUGCAGAGGAAAGAGUGCUUGGGAGAUGGAAGAAAUGUUUUUUUUCCUGAGCCUCUGAUUGUAACUCCUAUCAGAGCUCUAGUAUGUAGAAGCCUAAUCUCAGGACCUGGUAAAUAAUAUAUAUAUAUAUUUUUUUUUUUUUUUUUUGCCUAAGGGUUCUUUGUGUUCAUCUCUGCCUUAUGUGGUGUAGCAGGCCGAUUUUCGUCUUGUGUAGAGAAAUAGCAUAUUUCACCCCAAAAUUAACAGCUCUGAUCAUGGCAAUGUCUCUCUGUCUGGAGGCCUUCAUUGGCCUCCUCUUUUUUACCAGGAGAGAUUUCCACUCCUUUGCCCAGAAGGGGCCAGUUCAGCACCUCCUCUUUCUAUCCUCCCUUGUCCCUCCCAGUUCCCUGUCAGGAAAAGCUGAGUUCUUCUGUCCUAAUGAGCAACCCUAGCAUGGGUUGAAAUUUCCUGCUCCAGCUUCAUCCCCACUGUCCUAAUGAGCAACCCUAGCAUGGGUUGAAAUUUCCUGCUCCAGUUUCAUCCCCACUGUGGGUCUUCGGGGAAGCUCUGCUCACUGUGGUCACUUAAGGACUGUUGUUGAGGAGGCUUCAUGUUGACAAGGCGCUUCUCAACUACCUUGAAUGGGGGAGAGUACUUAGCCAAUCACGGACUGGGCCUGGGUACAUCACUUCUGCUCAUGUACCACUGACCAAAGCAAAUCAUGUGGCCCUGCCAACUUUAAGACUCUGUGACCAUGCCAAGUGUCUGAAAAGGAGUGUCUCUCCAGGAGUACUUGAGGAAACUAAGGACUCUUACAGUCUCCAUUUCUGUUCACCAAAUGUUUGGUUCACUCUUGCCUCAACCACAGUAUUUGUUCACCCUUUCCUCAAGGGUGUCAGCCCUGAAGACCCUUCCAGUCACAAUAUCAGCUCAUUUUCCAGAUUUUCUGGAUGAUGUGUAGUAGAGUCUGCCUCGGGUCCAGAUGUGUCUCUGCUUCAUCAGAAGGAAAGAUACCUCCCCUGCAUUUAUUCUGGGACAGUCAUAGAAUCUCCAUUUGGAAAGGGAAGGAAUUGGAGGUCACAGUAGAUGCUGGCCCACUGAGCAGAUAUUUUGAAGGUCCCCUCAACCCAGUACCCCAAUUAAACCCUGGCUCUGUUUCCUAAGUAUAGCCCUCAUCUGUUGUUUUCUGUGACUCCUGGAUUUGCCUCUCAUAGUCUGCCUUAUCUACAUUAGAUGUAUCUUAGGGAAUAUACUUUAAGCCUUUAAGGAAUUGAGGGAUGGAUGGAUGUAGGUGAUGUCAAAUUUUGAAGAUGGCCUCCUGUAAUACAGGCUGCUAUUCUUUGGUAGGAACAUUUCUCUCAAAUAUGUAGACUUCUUGUCUACUGGACACCAGGUAUGCCAUAUGCCAAUAGCUGCAGCCACAGUUCUUUUCUAAACAGACUCCUAUGGUUUGCAAUUUUUCUUUGCUUCCUUGCUCUCUUGCCUGCAGAUCCCUGUCUCUGUCUCUCACACUCUUGCCUUCAGCUUGGUUUUGAGUGCUUUAAUCUUAUUGGGCACUGGUGGGGGAGCUGUCAGACCUCUUCUCCUCCCUUUUUCAGAGCCAUUUUGUCCAGUUGGAAGCAGACACUAAGUUACAUCCUGAUUUAUCCUAUGGUUUUAGCAUUAGGUUCACACCCCUUGACUUGAUCCUUGUUCCAGAGCUGAUCUUCUUCAAGGUCCUUUUUUUGGUGGAAAACAUUUCUUGAUUUUAUAGUUUGGAUUGAGAAACGAUUACCUCUUCUAACCUUACAAAUCCCUGAAUCUGUAGGUUAUCUCUACUCUUUUUCAUUCCUGCUCACUGAGUGGCCAGAUCUUUUCUGAGCUCAUCUCUUUGGGAAGUUAUUUAGGAUAAUUUCCCAAAUGCAUCCAGCAGCCACCAAUACAUGCUGCUAACAUUGUUUUAUACUUUCUUGCUUUAGUUCAGUAGGUUGGUGACUUUCCUUCUACAUUAUCACAGAUGAUGGAUUUACCAAAUAGAUCACUAUCCUUUCAGCUUCUGAUAACAGUGUUCUUACGUUUUUGCCAGCUGAUGAAUAUUGAGUAGUUGACGUGUUUAUUAUUGUUAUUACAUUACCCUUUGUCUAGGUGCCAGCUUUUUUUAAAAAAAUAUUUUGGUUUUAGUUGUAGUUGGACACAAUACCUUUAUUUUAUUUAUUUAUUUAUUUUUAUGUGAUACUAAAGAUCGAACCCAGCACCUCACACAUGCUAGGCCAGCGCUUUACCACUGAGCCACAACCCCAGCCCCUGUCUAGGUGCCAACUUUUGUAUCAGCCAGGAGCAGGUAGGUUAUGCGCGGUAACAAAAAAAUCCUAAAAUCAGUGGCUUAACACCGAAACUUUAUUUUUUGCUCAUACUAUAUGUUUGAGGUCAAAGGGACUCUGCUCACUGUGCUCACUCAGAAUCCUGUGCUGAAGAUUUCAUCCUGAUGUUUCCACAGUGAAUUCAGUCACCCUGGCAGGAAAAGAAAGCAUAGCAAAUUCACGUUGACUCUAAACCCUUCCUUCCAGGAAUGAAACACAUUAUUCUGUUUAUUGGCCCAGACCAGUCACAUGAACAUGCCUUCAAGGUAUAGGAAAGUACAACCCUACUGUGUGUGUCUAGAAGUCAGAGAGAUGGAAAAAGCAUACCUCUGUCUAGACUAGGUGAUGCUUUGAUAGCCAUCCACAAAUCUGGAUUACAGCCUGAAUUGUUUCUCACUUGUACUGCAUGUCUGUCAUAAGUCAGCUGUGUUUGUACUUUUACCCCCAUCUUUGCCCCAGACCCUGACUAAUAAAGCAUCUUUUCUCUAAAACAUCACUGGUGGUUGUGGCAGAGAGAAAAGAGCAUGGCUUCUAAAGCUUCUGCUGAGAGCAGUUUACAUGGCCAAGCCUGAUGUCAGUGGGGAGGGACAGGGAGUAUUUGUGAAUGGUAAUGCAGUCCACCACACCCUGUACUCCACAUUCCCUCCAUUCCUUUGAGUCUCAACUACUCCAAACAUUUUCCAUUCCUCUAGCAUUUUCUUCUUUCCAUUUACUUUUUUUUUUUUUUGUCCUUAAGCAAAAUGUGAACUGGCGAACUCCUAUUCACUCUUCAAGACCCAGCUCAAAUAAUCAUUCAUUCUGAAGUUUCUUCUACCCUAUUCUCCCACCUAGCCCUCAAAGUUAUCUUCUUUGGCUCUCACCACACUGGGUACACAUCUGAAGGAGAGGAUGUCAAUCACAUGAAUUUGUAAAUGCCUUCUUUAGUCCCUGACUCCAAAUUCAGAAAAUGUGUCCUACUUAUUUUGUAUUACCAAUGCUUAAUAAGGAACUGGGCACAUGCAGCCAGAGAAGGUGCUUAAUGAAUGGUUGUUGAGGAUUUUUUUUUAAAAGCCUUUUCCAUGGUGGAAUUAAGGGGGUGUUUUAAUAGUCACAUCAAAAAUGGUACCUUGUUUUAUUACAUAAUAUAUGGAACAUGUGAAACCCCCUAGCUAAAAUGUUAGUCUGAAGCAGCUAGUACUUCUUCCCUUACUUUGUUUUCUCCAGCCACACUGGCUAUGGCUAGAUCAGUGAGGAUCGCCUAAAUUAUGAUAAAAUUAUGUAAAAAACAGUUCCCAGAUUUGGGGACUUAUGAUAAAAAACAAACAGAAGGAGGGUGAGAAUGGUGUUUCUUGCUUCUGCUACAUAUCUAUCAAGGUUGGGAAGGUCUCUGUGCCAUGUUCCUCUGGGAUCCAGACUAAUGGAGCACCCACUUUUGGUAAGGUAACAGAUCUCAUGGUAGAGGAAAAGAGAGCUUUAAAGGGUCUUACCUGGGCCAUUAAGUGUCUUUGUUUUAAAUGGCCACAUGUCACUUCUCACAAUUAAUUGGCUAAACCUAGUCCUCAGCCCCUCCCAGCCACAAGGGGCCAAGAAAUGCAAUCCUAUUUGCCUGGAAGGCAGAGAUCUGGAAGUAUUUGGUGACCAUUCUAAAGACUCCCACACUGGCUUUUCUUGGUUCCCCAAACAUGACAAACUAUCUGUUGCCUCAGAACCCUUAUAUGAGUCCUUCCCCUCUUCCCUAUUCUUCCGCUGAUUUCUUUCAUUGAAUUUAGCAUAAGUGGUACUUACAGAGAUUGCCUGUGACUUCCAUACUCCUACCUGAAUUAGAUUUCCCCUUUUACAUUCUCUCAAAAGUACCUAUAUAUUUUUCUUUGUAGUUAUUUGGAUUUGAGGGUAGGUAAUGAAUAACACCCCUUUCAGUUAAGAAUCAGCUGAAAGUUUGACACAGGGAUCCUCAGAUAAUGGGGGUCAUGAUGUUAUUUUGACAGUUAAUAUAGACUGUAUUGGAGAUCAUGGCAGACAUGAAGCCACAAUGGGUUUCCUGAUGCUUCACCCCUGAAUUAAACUAACCUAAUUGUUCCUGGCAGAGAUGGGCAGCUGCAGGUUGCUUCCAAAGGGGCAAUUCAUGUAAACCUCCUUUGGGUGAAUUAACUGUGAAAGAGAGCAAGAGGUAGGCUGAGGUAGGCUUGCUGGGGCUCCUCUUCUGAAGCAAGACAGUAACUCACUCUCCUUCCCAGGGGGAGUAAGUAGGUCUGAAAGACCUGCUUACAAAUGUCCCUAACAAAUGUCUCCUCACAGAAAACUGAGGCUAGGGAAAUGGCAGUUUCCUCUUAGCAAUAGAAUUAAAUAUGUUAUUAUGUAUUUCUUUGUAUGAUUGUGUAUUUUUUAACUUUUUGUUUAAGGUGUCUUUCACCAACCAGAGGCCAAGCAUCAAGAAGGCAGAAGAAAGUAUCUCUUGGUCUUCACUGAGUCUACAGCAUCUAGCAUGGCCCAGAGAGUGUGCUCAGUCAAUCUGGGUUAUUCAUCAGAGGUUUUGGUCAAGGAGAAGUACAGAACUGUACAUCACCCUUAUGGGCAUGCCUAGACUGCACUCAAAAUUUCCACAAAACUUUCAGGAUCAUAAAGUAGCCAGAGUCCUUCUGGGUGAUCUUCCAAGACCUGUCCUUCUCCCAGUGAAGGACCUCCUUUGGCAGCAUCUUGGCUACUUAAAUAUUGUAGCCACAGAGUGAGGACAUGAUGCCCAGAGAGCAGUAGUACUAAUCCUACUUAGUGCUGCUGGCUGGACACCUGCAGGAAUACUGUGGGUAUGAAACUUGGAGAGCAAUUUUGGCCAACCAUAGAGAUCUGAAGGUAGGAUGGCAACACCAUAAGAGACCUGAAACCAUGCUCCAUGGGAAAGAACGGAAAGAACUGGGAUUAUUCAGGUGGGCAUGGGGUAGGGAUGGUGGGGACAAGACAGAACAUAUAGGAGUCUCCAAAUAGGGGGAGUUGACUUUACUCUGUAGGCUUUGAGGUCAGAGCUAGAGUAAUGGUUAGACGUUAGAGAAGACAGCUGCUAUAUUUAAGGAAGAACUUUGUGAAAUUAGUUAUUUAUCAAUAGGACAAUUACUUUAACUGUAGAAUUGAAGUCCCUCCACUCAACACAUAUUUAUUGUUUUCUAUGUUCCAGACACUCUGUAAGGUUAGUUUAUGAUAAUUCCUCGCAAGCACAUAGUACUUGUGGUAUUCAUCACUUAUUUUCACAGUUCAUAAAAGCCAUCUUAAGUAGUCUCAUUUAGAAUUUGGAGUUUGUCUCCAACAUUAGUGGUUUCUCAAUUCUAGAGUUACACAUUUUUACUCACAAAAUUUGUAAACUGCAUUGAUGUUUUCUCAUGUCCAAUGUUAGUUAUAUGGACAUUCUUCUAUCAAAACAAGUGUUUUCAGUAUCAUAAAUCAAAAUUACCUAGACUUUAUCCACUGUCUUUAUUGCUUCCAUAUUUGUUUUAAACUUUUCUGCAAUAAACAUGUACGUGAGGAUCACUUGGGAAGAUGAGAUACUCCCUUACUGUUCUGGUAGAAGAACUAUAAAGUAUCCACCAAGCCCCUGCCCUUUGUGCCUUGGUACACAGCUAGACUGCAUUUCCUGGCUCCUUUGUAAGUAGGUGUUCCUGAGUUUUAAACAUUGCAAAGAGGGUCAAUAGGAUGUGCGUCACAGGCCUGGUUCAUAAAACCAUCUCUCCCUAUCUCCUGAUAAGGGACUCCAAGGUCAUACACAGGGAUACAACCACAGAGAGAAGGAGCCUGAAUCUCUGAAAGAAGGUCGUCUGAAACCCAGAAAUCGGGUUUGGGCUUGGAUGAGAAAUCAACUUUAUUAUGUUGAUGGAUUGAGAUUUGGGAUAUUUGUUAGAGCUGCCAAUGUCAUCUUACUGCCGUUGGUGCUGCAGGAUAACCUCAGUGAGGGAUCACAGAUCCAAAGUAGGGGUUUUGUCCCAGUUUGAAGAGAAUUAAUGGAGAAGACAGAGUAAAGCAGAUGGCACUUAAUUGCAUAUGGAGGCUUCCUUUUGCUAAUAUUUUCUUCCCAUCUAAUUUAUAAACUUCAUGAGGCAUGUUAGCAUGUCUUAUGUCCUCUGCUGUAUUUCAUCGUAGAGUAUUUACUGAGAAAUGCCUGGUGCUUUGGGGUUUUCAGAAAGAAUCCAGAGAGCACAUACUGUUAAACAUUCAUUAAUUCAACAGUGUGUGAGUAUUUACCAUAGGCCAGCCUCUGGUGAUCAUGGUAAACAGGAACUACAGGCCUGCCUACAAGUUGACAGAUAGCAAGGAAAGUGGGUAACCAGGAGGUAAGACUAGUCUGAUAAUGCCGUGACGUGACAGAGAGGAACAGGAUUCUCUGCCUGCACAUGGCAUCUAACAAGGGUAGAGACCAGAGAAUUGUUGUUCAGAAGGUGGUGAAAGUUUUAAACUGAGACUUCCAGGAUGGAUAGAAGCACCCAGAAGAAGUGGAGGUGGUGCAGAGAAAAAGAAUAAUCUAAGAAGAGUCAGGACAUACAACAAGGCCUGGUGUUAACGAAUGUAGGGCAUGUUUGGAGGGACAAAAGGGAAGCAAGAAAGGAAGAGUGAGGAUGAGCAUCAGAGGAGGGCUUUGUGGUUUAUGUACACAUGUACUGAAAUGCACCUGGAGGCCUUGCACUAUGUACAAACAUCAUACACUAAGAUGUGUAUGCAUGUUCUUAGGAAAUAGGACUGGGUAGCCAUCAAGAUGUCAAUGAAUGGGCUGGGGUUGUGGCUCAGUGGUAGAGCACUUGCCUCACAUAUGUGAGGCACUGGGUUUGAAUCUCAGCACUGCAUAUAAAAAAAUAAAAUAAAAGUCCAUCAACAACUAAAAAAAAUAUUCUUAAGAAAUGUCAAUGACUGCUAUUUGGGUAAAUUCCACUGUCCUAUUUGUUUUAAACUUUUCUGCAAUAAACAUGUACACUCGCAAUUUUAAAAAAAUCA